GGAAUAUUGGUCAAUGGCCGCGAGGCUGAACCAGCCAAGUAGCGUGCAGGAAGACGGCCCUCUGGGUUGUAAACUGCUUUUAUACGGGAACAAAGUGCCCUACGUGUAGGGUUUUGCGUGUACCGUAAGAAAAAGGACCGGCUAAUUCCGUGCCAGCAGCCGCGGUAAUACGGAAGGUCCGGGCGUUAUCCGGAUUUAUUGGGUUUAAAGGGAGCGCAGGCUGAUUAUUAAGCGUGACGUGAAAUGUAGCCGCUCAACGGCUGAACUGCGUCGCGAACUGGUAGUCUUGAGUGAGUUCGAUGUUGGCGGAAUUCGUGGUGUAGCGGUGAAAUGCUUAGAUAUCACGAAGAACUCCGAUUGCGAAGGCAGCCAACAAGGCCUUUACUGACGCUAAAGCUCGAAGGUGCGGGUAUCGAACA
rnacentral:rRNA from 1 species